rnacentral:rRNA from 1 species
UACGUAGGGGGCAAGCGUUGUCCGGAAUUAUUGGGCGUAAAGGGCACGCAGGCGGUCUUCUAAGUCUGAUGUGAAAUCCCACGGCUUAACCGUGGAGGGUCAUUGGAAACUGGAGGACUUGAGUGCAGAAGAGGAGAGUGGAAUUCCACGUGGAGCGGUGAAAUGACGUAGAUAUGUGGAGGAACACCAGUGGCGAAGGCGACUCUCUGGUCUGUAACUGACGCUGAGGUGCGAAAGCGUGGGUAGCGAACAGG